AUUAAGGUCCUCUGGAUUGUAAACUUCUUUUAUAUGGGACGAAAAAAGGUCUUUCUAGAUCACUUGACGGUACCAUAUGAAUAAGCACCGGCUAACUCCGUGCCAGCAGCCGCGGUAAUACGGAGGGUGCAAGCGUUAUCCGGAUUCACUGGGUUUAAAGGGUGCGUAGGCGGGCAGGUAAGUCAGUGGUGAAAUCCUGGAGCUCAACUCCAGAACUGCCAUUGAUACUAUCUGUCUUGAAUAUUGUGGAGGUAAGCGGAAUAUGUCAUGUAGCGGUGAAAUGCUUAGAUAUGACAUAGAACACCUAUUGCGAAGGCAGCUUACUACGCAUAUAUUGACGC
rnacentral:rRNA from 1 species